GGAGUAUUUUGCACUGCACAACUGUUUGAACCCCCAGGCAUGCUGCAAUGAGAAAAGGAUGAAAUAGAGGAAGGCAGCGGAGAAGUAACAGAAAUUCAGCAGUAAAGUAGCAGAUGGGUUCCAGCAGAGUUCUGCUUUGAUUUAUGUCCAGCCAAGCACAUCAGGCCCAGGUUUGGGGCCCGGAGGAGUCCAAACCAGAAGCUGUCUGAGGAGCUCCUCACCAAGAGAGGAGCAGCUGAAUCACCAGCUCUUCGUGGAUAUUCACAAAGGCGGUGGAGGCUGCGGUGAGGACAGAACAUAAAGCAGAUCUACAGAUGCACAGAGCUCCCUUUCAGAAGCCUUUCAUCUAUCAUAUGAUACUUUCUGGUUAAGUGAUCACCUCUGAUUUGUUGAAUCAGAGUCUUAAUCAUGUCCUUGGCAUCAAGCAAAGGAACUGCUAGCAAUAUUAACAGGGUUAUUCAGGACUGGGGGUGGAAGUCCCCGCUGUUUAAAGCAAGAGUUAGACAGUAUUACCACAUGAUCCCCUCACUCAGACUCUUUGAAGUGUUAUGAAAACAUUUUUAAAGCAAUAUUUGCCACAGGGUAGUCACUCACAUUAUAUCAGUCUUACCCCUCCUCUUUUCAUCUGUGAGCACCUCAUUACCAGUGGAUAAUACUGAUGCUGAAAUACCACUUUCCCUUGGGAACAAAACAAUAACUGUGUGUGUCAUUCGAGAAGGAUCUGCUUGGGCCUUUAUGUGCAGCAAUGCAUGGUUAUAAAGCACUUUUG
rnacentral:lncRNA from 7 species